rnacentral:rRNA from 1 species
UACGAAGGGGGCUAGCGUUGCUCGGAAUUACUGGGCGUAAAGGGAGCGUAGGCGGAUAGUUCAGUCAGAGGUGAAAUCCCGGGGCUCAACCUCGGAACUGCCUUUGAUACUGGCUAUCUUGAGUAUGGGAGAGGUGUGUGGAACUCCGAGUGUAGAGGUGAAAUUCGUAGAUAUUCGGAAGAACACCAGUGGCGAAGGCGACACACUGGCCCAUUACUGACGCUGAGGCUCGAAAGCGUGGGGAGUAAACAGG